AUCUGGAUAGCUCAGUUGUUUAGAGCAGUUGCCCGGAAAGCGAAAGACUCGGGUUCGAUUCCCGAUCCAGCCA
rnacentral:tRNA from 1 species